rfam:Virgibacillus soli strain PL205 scaffold000047, whole genome shotgun sequence.
ACUUUGGCGAUGAAGAAGAGUAGUAGCUUGCGGACCACAAAAGAGAGCUGGUGGUUGGUGUGAACCAGUGUGUUGAUGCAAAGUGAAUGGACUUCUGAGCUUCCAAACCGAACUCUGGAUGAUAGUAGGCUUUGGCGAACCCCCUUCGUUACAAGGGUUAAACAUGAAUGUUAAAAAAGUGAGCUGAUUUCAGCUAAUAAAGGUGGUACCACGGUCCCUCGUCCUUUGG